CUGCCUGUGACUGCAUAAAGGCUGGAGUCAGGCUCUGAGUCUCACCACCCUCUCCCCUGUGCAGAUCCUUGUGCUUUGCCCCAGGGAGAGAGCCCUUCAGCUCAUUAUCAUUUUCUAAGCAACCAGUCUUGCAAGUGCAGCUUGGAGCAGAGCAUCUGCUGGAUUAUGUCUGCAGCCCUGAAUCUUUGGAAACUGCUGAAGCAGGCAAAGUCCCCUUGAAUGCAUCCCCAGAGAAGAUGGCUGAGGUAUUGAGGCGCCUCAGGUGCACAGCCAAGUGCCAGACCCCCCAGAGUGCACAAUGAAGAGCCACAGAGACAGAGAGAGGAAAAAAUACAUGCACCAGAACACAGCAUCCAGCUCCCAUACCAGAAAUGGAGAGAAAGUCCAAGGCCCUGGCUUGUCACCUGUUUAAUAGGCACAGCAAAAGGAAAUUUAUAAACCCAGUUCACUUGUUAUGAAUAAAAACUCUCUCAAGAA